rfam:Schistosoma mansoni, Puerto Rico, WGS project CABG01000000 data, contig: 0044
AUCCAGCUGACAAGUCCCAAAUAGGACGAAUUGGCGGGCGUCCUGGAU